CCUCAAUUGGUGGAAACAAACGGUUCUUACCUACUGUACAUUUCAGAUUGGCACCUCAAACAGAACUCUUUAGUAGUUCUGUAUGGGAAAUACAACGCCACUAGAAAUUUAAGCAAAGAGUGUUAUGUUCGGACUUCAGAUGCAACAUGUACAUCAUGUCCCCAUAAUGUCUCAACCUAUGUUCAGUGUGUGGACUUAGACAACAAAUGUAAAAUGGCUACAUACGACAAAAAAGACUGCAAAGGACUAAUAGAAA